GAAUAUUGGACAAUGGGCGAAAGCCUGAUCCAGCAACGCCGCGUGGAGGACGAAGGUCUUCGGAUCGUAAACUCCUGUCAGAUGGGACGAAAAGCGGGGGGUCAACAGCUCCUCGUUCUGACGGUACCAUCAGAGGAAGCCCCGGCUAACUCCGUUCCAGCAGCCGCGGUAAUACGGAGGGGGCAAGCGUUAUUCGGAAUUAUUGGGCGUAAAGGGCGCGUAGGCGGCUUGGUAAGUCAAAGGUGAAAUCCCUCGGCUCAACCGAGGAACUGCCUUUGAUACUGCCUCGCUCGAGGCCGGGAGGGGGUAGCGGAAUUCCCAGUGUAGCGGUGAAAUGCGUAGAUAUUGGGAGGAACACCGGUGGCGAAGGCGGCUACCUGGACCGGUUCUGACGCUGAGGCGCGAAAGCGUGGGGAGCAAACAGG
rnacentral:rRNA from 1 species